UAGAGGAAGUAAAAGUCGUAACAAGGUUUCCGUAGGUGAACCUGCGGAAGGAUCAUUAUCGAAUUAUAAGCGAGGGUUGUAGCUGGCCUCCCUUUCGAGGCAUGUGCACGCCUGAGCUCUUAAAUCCACAACACACCUGUGAACCCACCGUAGGCCUUCGGGCUUAUGUAUCAUAUACUCUGAAUGUGUCAUAGAAUGUUCAUGUUGCCUUAAAACGCAAUCAAAUACAACUUUCAACAACGGAUCUCUUGGCUCUCGCAUCGAUGAAGAACGCAGCGAAAUGCGAUAAGUAAUGUGAAUUGCAGAUUUUCAGUGAAUCAUCGAAUCUUUGAACGCACCUUGCGCUCCUUGGUAUUCCGAGGAGCAUGCCUGUUUGAGUGUCAUUAAAUCCUCAACCCCACCGAUUUGCUUCGGGGGGAUUGGACUUGGAGCGUGCUGGCGAAGGUCGGCUCCUCUUUAAAUGCAUCAGCGGAGAAGAAAGCUCGUCCCAGUGUGAUAAUCCUGUUGCGCUGUGGUGGGGUGAAAAUUCCGCUUCCAACCGUCCUCCGGGACAAGACAUCUCAAUUUGACCUCAAAUCAGGUAGGACUACCCGCUGAACUUAAGCAUAU
rnacentral:rRNA from 1 species